CUUCCAGCUUGAUGAAAUAUUCCUAGAGGAACUUAACAUGAAGUGGAUGGCCAGCUGGGAAAAAGGGAGUAUUUGAAAUGUUGGUCCUGGUGUUAUCUCAAACAUGGAACAAAGGUGCCUCUUCUAAUCCUUCUCUCAAAAGCAGCAACAAGGUCAAGGCUGUUAGCGAUGGCAAAAUUUGACUGGAGUUUUGGGAGCCUCAUGGAGCCGUUUUCAGCCACGUCCCCAACUGACUGUAACUGGCAGAUUCAUCCCUGCAGGUAACUCGUCCAGGAAUAUAGAAGCAGAAAGCAGGGAAACUACAUACGCAGAGUCAAGACAAUAAAUUGCCUCUUCCAG